GACGAACGCUGGCGGCGUGCCUAAUACAUGCAAGUCGAGCGCAGGAAGCCGUCUGAACCCUUCGGGGGGACGACGGUGGAAUGAGCGGCGGACGGGUGAGUAACACGUAAAGAACCUGCCCAUAGGUCUGGGAUAACCACGAGAAAUCGGGGCUAAUACCGGAUGUGUCAUCGGACCGCAUGGGCCGAUGAUGAAAGGCGCUCCGGCGUCGCCCAUGGAUGGCUUUGCGGUGCAUUAGCUAGUUGGUGAGGUAACGGCCCACCAAGGCGACGAUGCAUAGCCGACCUGGGAGGGUGAUCGGCCACACUGGGACUGAGACACGGCCCAGACUCCUACGGGAGGCAGCAGUAGGGAAUCUUCCACAAUGGACGAAAGUCUGAUGGAGCAACGCCGCGUGAACGAUGAAGGCUUUCGGGUCGUAAAGUUCUGUUGUAAGGGAAGAACAAGUGCCGCAGGCAAUGGCGGCACCUUGACGGUACCUUGCGAGAAAGCCACGGCUAACUACGUGCCAGCAGUCGCAGUAA
rnacentral:rRNA from 1 species